rnacentral:rRNA from 1 species
UACGAAGGACCCAAGCGUUAUCCGGAUUUAUUGGGUUUAAAGGGUGCGUAGGCGGUUUAUUAAGUCAGUGGUGAAAGCCUACAGCUUAACUGUAGAAUUGCCAUUGAUACUGAUGAUCUUGAGUAUGAUUGAGGUGGGCGGAAUGUGUCAUGUAGCGGUGAAAUGCUUAGAUAUGACACAGAACACCGAGUGCGAAGGCAGCUCACUAAGCCAUAACUGACGCUGAUGCACGAAAGCGUGGGGAGCAAACAGG